UGGGGAAUCUUGGUCAAUGGGCGCAAGCCUGAACCAGCGACGCCGCGUGAGUGAUGAAGGCCUUCGGGUUGUAAAGCUCUGUGGGGAGGGACGAAAGAGUCAAGUCGAAUAGGCUUGAUAGUUGACGGUACCUCCUUAGCAAGCACCGGCUAACUCUGUGCCAGCAGCCGCGGUAAGACAGAGGGUGCAAACGUUGCUCGGAAUUACUGGGCGUAAAGCGCGUGUAGGCGGGUUUCCAAGUCAGAUGUGAAAUCCCUGGGCUCAACCCAGGAACUGCAUUUGAAACUGGGAGUCUUGAGUAUCGGAGAGGAAAGCGGAAUUCCUGGUGUAGAGGUGAAAUUCGUAGAUAUCAGGAGGAACACCGGUGGCGAAGGCGGCUUUCUGGACGAUAACUGACGCU
rnacentral:rRNA from 1 species